UCCAUUUAAUUAUAUUUAUGCUGACGUUGUUGUUAACAAGCAUAUGUUGAGGUGGUUGUUAAAGCAUAUGAUUUAUCUUAUUAAUCCAUCUAAUUGUCUUUAUGUAACAUAGUUUGUGUGGAGACCAUACGAUGCAAUAUUGCAUACACUGCCCUUGUGUUCCAAGAUUGACAGGUCGGUAUGGACUGCACGAGUGCCUUUACUUUUCUUAGAGGUAGGUGAGUACCACGUGCCUGAUAGGGUGAUGCGAUAAUUUGGUUUUCCUCAACACAUACCCGAGCCCCCAGAGUGGAAACCCAAGCACUUUGACGUUAAUUUGCGUACUAGGGCGGGUCAGUCGUUGGUUGAGCUAUAGGUCGUUAUUUUGAUGCUUGGAGGGAUUGACAUGAAAAAUUGGCUGUGCCAGUCCAUGGUGCUAUACUGAGAGAUUAUACACUAUGGUACUUGAGUCACGGACGAUUAUUGAUAGGCAACCCUGCUAUAAAGGAAAAGUACAGAGCAGAAUUUGUUCCUCAUGCUGGUACUGUUACUGCAUUGUCGAGGGGACUUCACAAGAUCCUCAAUAUUUCGUUCGAAGUGCAAAAGGAUCCUGCACAUGCUUUAUGGGGACAUGAAAUAGAGAGUGUGGUAACGUAGACAUUUAAGGAGGCUCGUGAUGCCAUACCGCCAGAUGGGCUAUUUUGUGACGUUGAAUUGUCCUAUUACAAUGCAAGUGCUCGGGGACGUGGUGAAGGCCGGGGUAUAGGCCCAGGACGUGGUCGUCCAAGGGGACGACCCCGCAACACAGAUGUACAUGAAUUUUUUAAUGAGCCAUCACCGUCUACUUCUGUCGUUCCAUCUAAGGCCAUUCCAGGCCCCUCUGGUACUCAAAAUGUUGGGCAAACAUUCACACAACAUACCAACGAGAUGUUUGAUAUGUCGACGUUUGGUCGUAGCUUGGAGUCUUUGAUGGGUUAUGCUAUGCCGACAUCGAGUGGU